UACGUAGGGUGCAAGCGUUGUCCGGAAUUAUUGGGCGUAAAGAGCUUGUAGGCGGUUUGUCGCGUCUGCUGUGAAAUUUCGGGGCUCAACCCCGAACUUGCAGUGGGUACGGGCAGACUAAAGUGUGGUAGGGGAGACUGGAAUUCCUGGUGUAGCGGUGAAAUGCGCAGAUAUCAGGAGGAACACCGAUGGCGAAGGCAGGUCUCUGGGCCACUACUGACGCUGAGAAGCGAAAGCAUGGGGAGCGAACAGG
rnacentral:rRNA from 1 species